UAGGAGAAGGACACGAAAAAUUCUGAGUGCUAUUCUUACUCUUAGAAUCAUUAUAUUCUUUUCUCUAAAGCUCUUGUAAUAAAAGUUUUUCAUCAAUAAAAUUUAUGGGAUUCUAAACUUUCUUUUGUUCUUUCUGAGUAAUCUUAAUAGUUAAUGACAUCUUGUUCAAAAAAUAUAGAAGUCUAAAUACGAAAAAUGAAGAAGAAUGAGUAUUUCCUGAUAUUUUAAUUUCUUUAAAAAUCUAAACUCGAAUAAUUUCUUUAAAAAUCAGGAAUAGACAUUCACGAAGGAAGCGUGUUGGACCCUGAAGAAAUCUAAGAUUUGGACAAUUUUUGGAAAAUUCCCCGAUCUCAUCCAAAGGUUGCUGAUUUUGGGUUUGCAAUAUGGCGCACACCGAAUGGAAUAUCAGUUGGAAGAGUGAGUCAUUGGAACAAAACAUACAUCUUCUUCCAUCAAAAUUUAUUGUUUAAUUAAUUUAUUUUAUUAUUAGCGAAAUCUUGUACUCUAUUUGAAUAAUUUAUUAUUUUAAUAAAUUAAGAAUCUGGCAUUUACGAUA